GGAGGGUCCACAGCUCAGCGGUGGAGCAUCUGCUUCGCAUGCAGAAGGCCCCUGGUUCAAUCCCUGGCAUCUCCA